UCCUACAAAUCUGAAGUUAUUCCCAGUGGUAAGAGGGUGGAGGGUUUUCUCCACCAUCAUCUCCACAGAGUUGAACGAGUUCAGCUCCAGGUGGUUCUGACUGCACCAAUGGGCCAGGUGGUCUACAUCCUUUCUGUACUCGUACAGACUCAUAAUCAUUCUAGAUCAGACCAGUGAUGGUUGUGUCAUCUGCAAACUUCAGGAGUUUCACAGAUGGUUCGUCUGAGCUGCAGUCAUUAGUGUAGAGCAGUGAUCCCCAACCUUCCCUUCCGCCAGGGAUCGCUUUAUGUCCGAGUGUAUUUUCACGGACCGACCUUUAAGGUGUCGCGGAUAAAUACAAAAAAAUUAAACCAGUACCGCUACCAAAAAGAGAAGAUUUAUUCAUAACACACAGGAAAGACCCAGGGAAACCGAGUUAACGAUAAAAACGGUAAAAAAAACACACCCGAGCCUCAACUCUCGUGGUCCACUACCAAACUACUCACGGACCGGUACUGGUCCAUGGCCCAGGGGGUGGGGACUGCUGGUGUAGAGGGAGAAGAACAGAGAAUACACCUCUGGGGGAGGCCAGUGUUGAUGGUAUGUGUGUGAUUUGAUGCUCCUCAACCUCACCUGCUGCUGCCUGUCCAUCAGAAAACUGGUGACCCACUGACAGGUGAAGGUGUAUGGUAAAUGGACUAAUUCUUAUAUAGUGCUUUCCUACUCUCCUGGAGUGCUCAGUAAGCUGGGUGAGCUUCUGCUGGAGGAUGUCUGGGAUGACUUUGUUGAAGGCUGAGCUGACGUCCAUGAACAGGAUCCUAUAUGUCCCAGACCCAACAAUCAUCACAGCUGAGUCUGGACAGGACGUCACUCUGACAUGUCGAGCUCCAAACAACAACAUCAUAGCUGUGAAGUGGAGCAGAGCUGACCUGGGAGAUGAAUAUGUGCUUUUGUACAAGGAUAAGCAUUUUGUUUCAGACAACCAGCAUCCAUCUUUUAAGAACCGGGUGGAUCUGCAGGACAGACAGAUGAAGGAUGGAGACGUGUCUUUGAUUCUGAACAAUGUGACGAUUAAUGACACUGGAACAUACGAGUGUCGUCUCAUCCAGACAGGAACACAUGGUCUGAAGGUCAUCAGCAUCAUCUCCCUGAGAGUUGUUGUUCCUCCAGGUCAGACAGGAGGAGACACAGAGGAUGGGUCUGUUGGACUGAUCGUUGGUCUGAUAGUUUCUGCUGUGCUUCUUGUUGCUGCUGUUGUUGGAUUUUUGAUCUACAGAAAACAUGAAAAAACAAAGAGUCAGGAUCCGUACCAUCAACCUGCUGAACUGCAGCCUGUUUGAAAUGUGAGUUUUUUACAGCUGAACUCCUGGAGUCUGAGUCUCCUGCUGAUCCAGACUUUCAGUCAUGUUAUUAAACAUUCAGAGGACGAUCUGAGGACAGACAUCAGUCAGCUCUCGGUGAUUUGAAGUUACUGAUUUUGUUUGUUUGCUUUGUGUGCAUCAGUAUUAGUUAUUAGUUUGUUUUAGCUUCCAGGUUAGUCGCUCAUCUCAGUGCAAGAGUUUAUAUUCUUAAACACUAUUAUUUACACCUUUGCCUUAUUUAUAUGUGGAACAUUCAGGACUUCAUAAUUCAAACAAAGAAAAGUUAAUAAUCUGAAAAAAGAAUCAUUGAUAUUCAACAGAAAUAAGUUUGUUCACAGUGAUGAGUUCAGUGUUGUCUCUGUCUCAAUAUCAGAAUCAGUGAGUUUGUUCCAUCUUCAGGUUCAGCUGUUUGUAAGGUCAGACUCACAGACUGAUCCUCAUGUUUAGAUGUUACACAAUAAUUACAGACACUGACUGACAACACAAACACAACACAAAGUGCUCAGGGUCCAUUUAUCAGCUAGAACUGAGUGACUGAAUAAUCUGAUAUUAUUAUGAAACCAAAGAGAAAUGUGUUACAUGGAGCUGCAGAGUCACAUGUUUCCUCCUCUGAUCUAUGAAGCCUUAACUUGUUCCUCCAUGAAGGAGACUCUUCAGUUUAAA